AGCAGGAUAUAAACCAAGGGUUUGGGACACUCACCCCGUAGGGGAGGUAGGAGGGUUGGGGAAGGGGUAGAAGAGGGGGCAGCUGUUGGGGCUCAGUGUUUAUGAGGGGAGUACUGUACAGACAGUGUGAGAGAAGAGGCCUAGAAGUGUUUGGCGGAAGUGGGAUAUAAGGGUUUGGGUUACAAAGGAUGAUGCUUUGGGGGAGAGGAGGAGGAGGCGGCGGAGGCGGCGUCGUCGUCGUCUUUUGCCGGGGAGUUGAAAGCAGUAAUGGUUUGUUCACAAGGGUUACAAAUGCCCUUCUUAGUGGAAGCGGAACGGGUUAUUGAACGACUGGUGGUAACAGCAACAAUAUCUAUGAAAGGAUCAUAGAUGUGUGCCCCUCUGGAAGAAGAGGCGGAGAGAGGGGUGAAGGUUUUGCAUUUAAGAAGGGAGGCUAGAUACAUUUCCUUGUGGGAGGAGGAAAAAUGUAGGGCGGAAAUAAUAAUAGCGUAGGUAUAGCUGGUGAUCUCAGGGAGAGAAGUGAUUAAUCAAUUCCUGGAGCAACAAAGUGAAGAGAGCAGCUAUUUAAGCAGCUUGGGUUUAUGUGAAUCGUCAGAGAGCAGGUUAAGAUUCCAGUUGCAUCUGAGCUGACGUCUCUACAGAGUCUGCUAUUUUUGGUAGCAAUGUGGAGCAGCGACAAAAGAGGAAGCGUGGUGGGAGAAGUGGGCAGCCAGAGUUGUGGGGAGUCUGGACUCAGCUCAGCUGCCAUCUUUCAUAAGAAGAUAAGAAUGGCAAUACUGGGUCAGACUAAAGGUCCAUCCAGCCCUGUAUCCUGUCUGCCGACAGUGGCCAAUGCCAGGUGCCCCAGAGGGAGUGAACCUAACAGGUCAGCGAGGAAUCAGGACAGGGAAAAUAAUCUCCUAAAGCCCUACUUGAACUAAGCAUCUAGAUUACAAAAAUUCCCAGGGAGGAGAUGACGCUGAGUGGCCUGAAGGUGUCUACAACGAAGGGAAAGUGAUGGUGGCAUAGAAGAGGUGAACCUCUCCAUGACCCUUGGGCGUAUGCAGUGACAGCAGAUAAAGGAGCUAUGCACUAGCUACACACCGAACUUCUCAGCCACCCCAGGACUGACUGAAUGGGCAUAACACUCCAUUGACAAAGGUAACGCUCACCCAAUUAAAGUCCAACCUUACCAGGUGUCUCCU